GUGAUAAGUUGUCUUUUAAUUGGAGAAUGGUAUGAAUGGUUUGACGUAGAAUAACUGUCUUUGGGGAAUAGAAUUAAGUUUCCUUUUAAGUGAAAAGGCUUAUAUUUUUGUAAAAGACGAGAAGACCCUGUCGAGCUUAAUUAAAAUUGUUUGUUUAUAACAAUUAGAAUUUUUGUUGGGGCAACAUAGAUCAAAAUAACGGUUUAAUUAUUAAAUAAAGAUCCUUUUAUUGAGAGAAAAUAGCAAAAGCUACCGCAGGGAUAACAGCGUUAUCCUUUUUAAGAGAUCGAAUUGAGAGAAGGG
rnacentral:rRNA from 1 species